UACGAAGGUCCCGAGCGUUAUCCGGAUUUAUUGGGUUUAAAGGGUGCGUAGGCGGGUUAUUAAGUCAGUGGUGAAAGCCUUCAGCUCAACUGAAGAACUGCCAUUGAUACUGAUGAUCUUGAGUACGAUUGAGGUAGGCGGAAUGUGUCAUGUAGCGGUGAAAUGCUUAGAUAUGACACAGAACACCGAUUGCGAAGGCAGCUUACUAAGUCGUAACUGACGCUGAUGCACGAAAGCGUGGGGAGCAAACAGG
rnacentral:rRNA from 1 species